rnacentral:pre_miRNA from 1 species
ACCAACAUUUGACUGUCUAUCUUAUAUAAAAUUUUUUUAUAUUUAGUAUUUUCAAUGUUGUUAGAUGAUAAAACAUAAUUAAUACUUUAUAUGUAACUUAUCUUUUUAAUUUUUUUUAUAAUUUAUUUAAAUAAGAUGAACGGUCAAACAUUGGACAC